CGCCCAACAGCUAGCCCACCUAUCAACCCCAAACCCUCCCUAUUUAUAUCCCCAAAUGCAUAUCCUCUCUACAACAAACCAUUUUUCCACCUAAGUACGGGCGACGAAAAAGAACCUAGGAGCAACAGAAAAAGUACCGCAAGGGAAAGCUGAAAGAGUAAUGAAAUAACCCAGUUAAGCACUAAAAAGCAGAGACCACCCCUCGUACCUUUUGCAUCAUGAUUUAGCCAGAAAACCUCAGGCAAAAAGAAUUGUAGUUUGAUACCCCGAAACUAAGCGAGCUACUCCAAGACAGUCUAAUUUAUAGGACCACCCCGUCUCUGUGGCAAAAGAGUGGGAAGAACUUCGAGUAGAGGUGACAGACCUACCGAGCCUAGUUAUAGCUGGUUGCCUGAGAACUGAAUAGAAGUUCAGCCCUUUAAAUUCUUCAUUCCUAUAGACCCUAGGCCUUUACACCGAACAAAAGAAGUUAAAGGAGUUAGUCAAAGGGGGUACAGCCCCUUUGAAACAAGAUACAACUUUCCAAGGAGGGUAAAAAUCACAAUGAACUUAAAGGCCAAAUGUUCUAGUGGGCCUAAAAGCAGCCACCUACCAGAAAGCGUUAAAGCUCGAACAUUACCUAACCAGCCUUCUAAUAAAGACAACCCAAUUUCACCCCCCUAAACCUACCAGGCCGUUCCAUAAGAUUAUGGAAGCGUUUAUGCUAACAUGAGUAAUAAGAGGAACCCCUCCUCUCCCCGCACAAGUGUAACUCGGAACGAACCCUUCACCGACCAUUAACGGCCCCAAAACAAAGAGGGCCCUAGGCAAAAACAAACAACUAGAAAAACCCCUAGUUCCUCACCGUUAACCCCCCACUGGUGUGCAAGCCGGGAAAGACUAAAAGAAAAAGAAGGAACUCGGCAAACACAAGCCUCGCCUGUUUACCAAAAACAUCCGCCUCUUGAACCCCUGGGUAUAAGAGGUCCCGCCUGCCCUGUGACUAUAA
rnacentral:rRNA from 1 species